AGUGAACGCUGGCGGCAGGCCUAAUACAUGCAAGUCGAACGGCAGCACAGCAGAGCUUGCUCUGUGGGUGGCGAGUGGCGGACGGGUGAGGAAUACAUGGGAAUCUGCCCAGUCGUGGGGGAUAACGUAGGGAAACUUACGCUAAUACCGCAUGCGCCCUUCGGGGGAAAGCCGGGGACCUUCGGGCCUGGCGCGAUUGGAUGAGCCCAUGUCGGAUUAGCUAGUUGGCGGGGUAAAGGCCCACCAAGGCGACGAUCCGUAGCUGGUCUGAGAGGAUGAUCAGCCACACUGGAACUGAGACACGGUCCAGACUCCUACGGGAGGCAGCAGUAGGGAAUAUUGGACAAUGGGCGCAAGCCUGAUCCAGCCAUGCCGCGUGAGUGAAGAAGGCCCUCGGUUGUAAGCUCUUUUGUCCGGAAAGAAAAGCGCCGGGUUAAUACCCUGGUGUCCUGACGGUACCGGAAGAAUAAGCACCGGCUAACUUCGUGCCAGCAGCCG
rnacentral:rRNA from 1 species